rnacentral:rRNA from 1 species
GACGAACGCUGGCGGCGUGCUUAACACAUGCAAGUCGAACGGAAAGGCCCUGCUUUUGUGGGGUGCUCGAGUGGCGAACGGGUGAGUAACACGUGAGUAACCUGCCCUUGACUUUGGGAUAACUUCAGGAAACUGGGGCUAAUACCGGAUAGGAGCUCCUGCUGCAUGGUGGGGGUUGGAAAGUUUCGGCGGUUGGGGAUGGACUCGCGGCUUAUCAGCUUGUUGGUGGGGUAGUGGCUUACCAAGGCUUUGACGGGUAGCCGGCCUGAGAGGGUGACCGGCCACAUUGGGACUGAGAUACGACCCAGACUCCGACGGGAGGCAGCAGUGGGGAAUAUUGCACAAUGGGCGGAAGCCUGAUGCGACAACGCAGCGUGCGGGAUGACGGCCUUCGGGUUGUAAACAGCUUUCGACUGUGACGAAGCAUGAGUGACGGUAAUGGGUAAAGAAGCACCGGCUAACUACGUG